GCUUCCUGGCCAGCCUCAGGCCCCGGGUGGGGACGUCAAUCAGGAAAACUUCUGCCCCAUUCCCUACCCCCAGGGUAGUGAACACACACCAAGGCUGGGCUGUGUGGCCACGCCUGGGCAGCUCCCAGAGUCCAAGGGCUGAGAACAUACUUCCUCCCCUGCCUGUCUAGACUCUGUGGUUGCUUUCCUGGCAACCACACAGCAGGGGCUGUAGCUGCAUAAGAAGGCGACGUGGAGUCAUGGCCUGGAGAGGCGCCUUGGCGGACGGAACAUGUGAACAUGGGAACCGGAGAACAUGACUUGCUUCUCUAGGGGCCUUGCUAUCAGGCGGCCUUCUCCGUGAGGGUCUCCACGCUGAUCCACGUGCCCAGGUUCUCCCCUCUGCCUGGGGGUCUCUGUAAACACCUGCGUUACUAAUUUCCCUGGGUUUUUAACCACCUUCUGUGAAAUGAACAUCCGUUCCACUUCCUUUUGGGGGUGUCGGGUAAAAACUGUCAUUGUAAGCACUUAAUACACUUGCAAAAUAA